rnacentral:rRNA from 1 species
CAGCAGUGGGGGAAUAUUGCACAAUGGGCGCAAGCCUGAUGCAGCCAUGCCGCGUGUAUGAGAAGGCCUUCGGGUUGUAAGUACUUUCAGCAGUGAGGAAGGUGGAUAUGUUAAUAGCAUAUUCAUUUGACGUUAGCUGCAGAAGAAAGCACCGGCUAACUCCGUGCCAGCAGCCGCGGUAAUACGGAGGGUGCGAGCGUUAAUCGGAAUUACUGGGCGUAAAGCGCAUGCAGGUGGUUUGUUAAGUCAGAUGUGAAAGCCCGGGGCGUCAACCUCGGAAUUGCAUUUGAAACUGGCAAACUAGAGUACUGUAGAGGGGGGUAGGAAUUUCUAGGUGUAGCGGUGAAAUGCGUAGAGAUCUGAAGGAAUACCGGUGGCGAAGGCGGCCCCCUCGGACAGAUACUGACACUCAGAUGCGAAAGCGUGGGGAGCAAACAGGAUUAGAUACCCUGGUAG